CACUUGCAAACAGCUGAAUAUGACUUUUCCUUUAUUUAAUCCUCCUUUCUUCCAUUCUGUCUUCAAUUCAUCUAUAAAUCUGAACCAUUAUCUCUAACAUUUGCCAAAGUGACUUUGCAUAUAACAAUUGCAUGUAAUCAAUUUCAAAUAAUCUGGCCUCAAGUUGGACAUGUAUAUACAAGUGUGACUGUCUUUUCAGUGGUUUUGGAAGAUCUCAUCUUUAAAGGUGGUGAUGGAAGUGGAUUUUAUGACCUAGACCCAUGCAACCGGUCAUGUUGCUGGAAUUGAAGUGGUGAGGAGCCAACAAGCAAGACUGUUCUUGGUGACCAUGAGAUCCUACAACUUCCUCUUUGCAGCUUUGAUAGCAGUGGGUAAUAAAACAGAAUAUUUCCUUUUUCAUGUUUUUAUCAGUUGCAGUUGCUUCCGUUGAGUUCACCGCUCCUCUCAUUUUCUGUCCCCUCCUUCUAACAGAGAUAAUUAGGUCAUUAGCGUAGCUGGGGUUUUCUUAUGCAACAUUUUACCUCUCUAAAGACACAAAAUGACAUUUUUUCUGUAACUUCAGAAAGAGUAAAACAUGAUUGCAUGUGAUAUGCACAAAGGCUGAUGUGCAGCCCAAUCAAGUUAAACGUCCCUGUGAGAUGAAAUGUAUUGUUUAAGCUCAAAUUUACAUCAGUUCAUCUGUACUUUCCUUUUGAGUCCAUUGCAGAGCUUGUACAGAUGGAUAGUUGAAGGAAACUGCAAGCCCAGAAGGGAUUUGGCUUAGCAUUUGGUGUGCAAAACUACU
ensembl:lncRNA